AUUGAACGCUGGCGGCAGGCCUAACACAUGCAAGUCGAACGAGUGGCGGACGGGUGAGUAAUGCCUGGGAAACUGCCUGAUGGAGGGGGAUAACUACGGUAAACGUUAGCUAAUCCCGCAUACCAUAGGAUGUGCCCGAUUGGGAUUAGUGUGUUGGUGGGGUAACGGCUCACCAAGUCGCCGAUCCCUAGCUGGUCUGAGAGGAUGACCAGCCACACUGGAACUGAGACACGGUCCAGACUCCUACGGGAGGCAGCAGUGGGGAAUAUUGCACAAUGGGCGCAAGCCUGAUGCAGCCAUGCCGCGUGUAUGAAGAAGGCCUUCGGGUUGUAAAGUACUUUCAGCGGGGAGGCGUUACCCGCAGAAGAAGCACCGGCUAACUCCGUGCCAGCAGCCGCGGUAAUUC
rnacentral:rRNA from 1 species